CGGGACGGGUGAGUAAUGUCUGGGAAACUGCCUGAUGGGGGGGGAUAACUACUGGAAACGGUAGCUAAUACCGCAUAACGUCGCAAGACCAAAGAGGGGGACCUUAGGGCCUCUUGCCAUCGGAUGUGCCCAGAUGGGAUUAGCUAGUAGGUGGGGUAACGGCUCACCUAGGCGACGAUCCCUAGCUGGUCUGAGAGGAUGACCAGCCACACUGGAACUGAGACACGGUCCAG
rnacentral:rRNA from 1 species